AUGUCCUGUCAGCUGCGUGAGGGAUCUGGCCGCUCGUGGAUAACCCCAGAUGGCAUACCACCGCCCUUGCCAUUCCGCAGGCGGGAAGAUUACCGGGUCAUUAGCGCAAUGCAGGAAUCACGUUGGAACUGGGGCACAGUGUGGAUCGGCGCUGUCCGCCCGUUCCCUUGUCACACCGUCGCUGCAAACCAGCGGGGUUUGAAGAGUGAUGAGAGCCAACCGGGCCCUGCUGCCCUCUCUGGACGUAGGAUACCACCUCUGAACUUGGGCUGCCCUCCUUCCCACAUCACAGGGCUACCUUGAGACUUUCUGAGAAGUUUUCCUUCUCCUUAUUCUUAGUGCCUUCAUCACCUGUGUUUCGGGCAUUCUUUUUCCUUCCAGACUCUUCGAAACACAAACGCUUUGAUCUGGGUUUAGAAGAUGUGUUAAUUCCUCAUGUCGAUGCUAAAGGGGCUAAAAACUCCGGAGUGUUCCUGAUCCAUGGACCCGAUGAACACAGACACAGGGAAGAAGAAGGACGUCUGAGAAAUAAAAUUCGAGCUGACCAUGAGAAGGCCCUGGGAGAAGCAAAAGAAAAAUUAAGAAAGUCAAGAGAGGAAAUUCGAGCAGAAAUUCAGACAGAGAAAAAUAAGGUAGUCCAAGAAAUGAAGACCAAAGAGAAGAAGACACCGCCACCAGUCCCUAUUCCAAACCUUGUAGGAAUAAAUGGUGGAGACCCAGAAGAUAAUGACAUAAGAGAGAAAAGGGAAAAAAUUAAAGAGAUGAUGAAACAUGCCUGGGAUAAUUAUAAGACAUAUGGGUGGGGACAUAAUGAACUCAGACCUAUUGCAAAGAAAGGACACUCCACUAACAUAUUUGGAAGUUCACAAAUGGGUGCUACCAUAGUAGAUGCUUUGGAUACCCUUUAUAUCAUGGGACUUCAUGCUGAAUUUCUGGAUGGGCAAAGAUGGAUUGAAGACAACCUUGAUUUCAGUGUGAAUUCAGAGGUAUCUGUGUUUGAAGUCAACAUUCGAUUUAUUGGAGGCCUACUUGCAGCAUACUACCUUUCAGGAGAGGAGAUAUUCAAGAGUAAAGCUGUGCAAUUGGCUGAGAAACUCCUUCCUGCCUUUAACACACCUACUGGGAUUCCCUGGACAAUGGUGAACCUGAAAAGUGGAGUGGGCCGAAACUGGGGCUGGGCAUCUGCAGGUAGCAGCAUUCUGGCUGAAUUUGGUACACUGCAUAUGGAGUUUGUCCAUCUCAGCUACUUGACAGGGGACCUGGUUUACUACAAAAAGGUCAUGCAUAUUCGGAAACUACUUAGGAAAAUGAAUCGUCCAAAUGGUCUUUAUCCAAAUUAUUUGAAUCCAAGAACAGGGCGCUGGGGUCAGUAUCAUACAUCAGUCGGUGGUCUGGGAGACAGUUUUUAUGAAUACUUACUGAAAGCAUGGUUGAUGUCGGAUAAAACAGACCAUGAGGCAAGAAGGAUGUAUGAUGAUGCUAUUGAGGCUAUAGAAAAACAUCUUAUUAAGAAGUCCCGUGGAGGUCUUGUCUUUAUUGGAGACUGGAGGAAUGGGCACUUGGAAAAGAAGAUGGAGCAUUUGGCCUGCUUUGCUGGGGGAAUGUUUGCACUAGGAGCAGAUGGUUCCAGAAUGGAUAAAGCUGGUCAUUAUUUAGAGCUGGGAGCGGAAAUUGCACGUACAUGUCAUGAGUCGUAUGACAGAACUGCAUUAAAACUAGGUCCUGAAUCAUUCAAGUUUGAUGGUGCAGUGGAGGCUGUAGCUGUCCGGCAGGCUGAAAAAUAUUACAUCCUCCGUCCUGAAGUAAUUGAAACCUAUUGGUACCUAUGGCGAUUCACUCACGAUUCCAAAAUGGAGGCAGUGGCUGACCGCAGCACGUGGCCAUUGAAAAAGUGCCGAGCAGUGGUGAUUUUCUGGGUAUCUAUGGGAUGUUAAUAUUCUCUAUUGCCUACAUACACUAUGAUGUACAGCCAAAGCUUCUUUACUUGCUGAAACAGAUUCAAAAUAUUGUUGUAAUCUGCUGUUCUCUGGGUGAUGACGUCUUUACCUUUAGUACCACUGGGUGCUGUAAAUACAGAGGCCUCACCCUCUGCCUGUGUUCAAAUUAA